rnacentral:lncRNA from 1 species
GUGUCUGGCAGCUUCCAAUAUUGCUUUCCUGCUGCCAUAAGAUGGCAGGUCUGGCAACAGAACUGGAGCCGGACUUAAGGAGAAAGAGGAAGGAACUUCAGCUCUGGCACCUGCAGACCCCCGAAAGUGACCUACGGAAGCUGGCAGCAGGGACUGCAAUUGAGCAUUCUCUCACCUUUCCCUUCUCAGAGCUCCCCAAGCCUAUGCCCAGGUGGGAAGAGGAUUACCUGAGAGCCAGAAGCCCCGGGUCCCAGCACUUCACUAACCUACCUUGCAUCCCUUCUGUAAAUUAUACACCCCAGCUCUCAGUUUCCCCAUCUCCGGGAUAACAGACUGGACUUGUCCAAGAAUAGCAAUCAUUCCCAAUCCAGUGCCGACGCUGGUUGCUAGAACACGUGGCUGAAGGGAUUGUAUGUUGCUCGGGAUUCUGGGGCCACAUCCAGUGGUAGGGGGUGCUGUGGUUCGCUGGCAAUAUCUGCCUUGGACUCAGAAUGGAGCAUGGUAGACCAGGUGCCACGUCACUGACAUGCAGGAGCUAAAGGACCUUUGCACUCCUGCCCAAUGGAACAUUCCAGCACUUGGAUUCUGUGGGAUGAGAUCUGACAGCCAUAAGGCAGAAGUUACCAACUGGGAAGCUCAUGGAUUCUUCAACAGAAACUCGAGUCAGGCUGAUGAAUUACCUUUACUAAAGGAAUGAAUAACAAUAAAAAAAAUUCUAGGUCCAAGACGUGCCAAGAAAGGUUAGAUAUAUUGGACAAUAUUUUAAAAGGAGAGAUGUUUUGGGUGACCUGCUAUUUUGCUGUCCAGCUUGAGAUGAUGCCAAUGGCCACAGAGUAAUAAAAGGGCCACUGAAUAUGGCCUCGUUCCCAUGGCUCACCAGCAGUAAGCAUCUCUACCACCUCCAUGUCUGGAGCAGGAAUUCCAGCAGGAAGGACGCAGCCUCCAGAACCAUUUGACCAGAAGAUCCAAGUGCGACUGGACUGCUGACAAAAUGUUUCCAGCCUGGAUCCUAUCAGGGGAAUUACAGCGGGUGCUCAUCAAGUGGGAGUUCUCAUGACUGAGGUAUGGGUCUUACUUCUCUCACUCAGAUGUAAACCCACUGAGGACAAAACUCAUGGCUGAUUCAUCUCUAUCAAGCCUACUGCCUGGCAUGUGGAAUGUAUGAAUGAGUGAAUGAACGAGAAGAUGAACAAGGCAAAGCGCUCAUAAGCAUGGCCAGUUUGGCCAGGGAGUAGGCUGUAAGAAGACGUCAGAGCCUUCUGCUUGAAUCUGCUGCCUUGCCGCCCACCCCAGGCUAAGGCACGAAGACCCUCAAAGCUGCUGCUGCAGGUCCUUUGGAGGAGCAGGCAGCUGGGCUCCCUGGCUCUCCCAUCUGGAGCAGGAGGCCCAGGACAGGUGCUUUAAAUACCCUCUGGCCACACCCCCAGCCUACUGCCCCUGGCACCAAUGGUGGCAGAGUCACAGGUCAGAAACCAGGAUUCAGGUCACCCCUUAGAAGGAACAGGGCGUAGAUGGGGACAGAUUGGAUCAGAAAAGGCUGAGGAGGCCAGGUCCAGAGCUGUGCACACCUGGGAGUAACGUGGUAUUUGAGAUACCGAGGACAAAAGAGCUGCGGCUGUCGGGGGCAGGACGCACUAUCAGGGGACCUUAACCUCUGUCCCCAAGAGGGGUUCACACCCCAGGCCACCAGUUUCAGUGGGUUUACACUGGGGCUCUGGGCAGGCGCAGCUCAAGGCAGGUGCUCUGAGGGAGAGCAGGGCUGUGAGGGGCUGGGGAGGCUGGCCCAGAAUCUCCCCAUGCCCGCCUGGAGACUGCAGGCCAACUUCCUGGUCAUGCCCCAGUUCCCAGGAAUUUUCCAGCUCCUGCUUAAUAGCUCCAUCCUCCCUCCAUCUGCCCCCAGCCCACUCCCAGUUUCCAAACAUUUUCUUUUUUGCUUCCAGUUAACCCUUGCUCUGCCCAGUACCGAAUUUCUGUCACUGCCUCCUCCAAGACCUUCUCUUGUAUUUUGCCCAAAGCAGGUGUCAGAACCCUUUCUGGGGGCCGAGCAGCUUGGUGUUGGGAGGCUGUGGUUGAGAUUCCCGGCUCUCUUACUCCCUUCCCAGGGCUUGGGCAAAUUCUUGCCCCCAGUGCCUCCUCUCUGCUUCCUGACUCUCCCUUGAGAGCUUGGACCAUAGACCCCAGCACCCUUCCUGCUCAAGGACACACUCCACUCUGAGUAUACACCCAACAGAAACACAUACAUAUGUUCUCUAAAAGAUGUGUAUUAGAAGCCGGGCACAGUGGCUCACGCCUGUAAUCCCAGGACCUUGGGAGGCCAAGGCAGGUGGAUCACUUGAGCCCAGGAGUUUGAGACCAGCCUGGGCAACACAGGGAGACCCCGUCUACACAAAAAUAAAAAAAAUUAGCCAGGCAUGGUGGCACACACCUGUGGUACCAGCUACUUGAGAGGCUGAGGUGGGAGGAUUGCUUGAGUCUGGGAGGUCAAGGCUGUGGUGAGCCAUAAUUGUGCUUCUACACUCUAGCCUGGGUGACAGAGCAAGACCCUGUCUCAAAAAAAAAAAAAAAAAAAGAAUGUGUAUUAGAAUGACUGUAACUAGCAAUAGUAAGUUCUAUAGUUUGAAAUAUCUGGAGGGAGGAUAUUGAAUGCUCCCAAAACAAAGGAAUGAUAAGGCCAGGCGAGGUGGCUCACACUUGUAAUCCCAGCACUUUGGGAGGCCGAGGCGGGUGGAUCACCUAGGAACAGUUCAGGGGUUCGAGACCAGCCUGGCAACAUGGUGAAACCCCGUCUCACUAAAAAUGCAAAAAUUAGCCAGGCUUGGUGGCAGGUGCCUGUAAUCCCAGCUACUCGGGAGGCUGAGUCAGGAGAAUCUUUUGAACCCGGGAGGUGGAGUUUGCAGUGAGCCAAGAUGGCACCAUUUCACUUCAGUCUGGGCAACAGAGCGAGAUUCUGCCUCCAAAAAAAACAAAGGAAUGAUAAAUGUUCAAGAUGAUAAAUAUGCUAAUUACUCUGAUCUGAUCACUAAACAUUAUGUGUACGGAAACAUCCCUAUGUACCCAUAAAUAUGUACAAUUAUUACAUGUCAAUUAAAAAGAAAAGAGCUAGGCACAGUAGCUCAUGGUGUAAAUCCAGCACUUGGGAAGGCCAAGGCGGAAGGACUGCUUGAGGCCAAGGGUUCAGGACCAGCCUGAGCAACAUACCAAGACUUCAUUUCUAUUGUUUUUAAUAAAUAAAUAAAAGGAGAAGAAAGAAGAUGUGUAUAUAAGAGAACGUUCAUAGAGCACUGUUCCUAAGAACUCCACACUGGAAGCUUCCCAAAUGCCUAUGAACUGAAAAAGAGAAAAUAACAGGUAUAUUGAUGCAGAGGAAUAAUACACAGCAAUGAAAAUGACUGAGUAACAACUCCACACACCGCCAUUCGUGGAUGCCUCUCCUAAACAUGAUUUUGAGCAAAGAAGCACAAUGCAAACUAAAGUGCUUGUUAUGUGGUACUGCUUAGCAAAAGUACAAAAACAGGGAAAUGAAUCUUUGCUGUUUGGAAAUUAGAGUAGUGAUACGCUUGGUUUGGCCCUAGGAUAGUGACUGGGAAGAGCCUGGGGUGGGGUCCCGGGGUACCUGACAUGCUCUUUUGCUGGGUCUGGGUUGUGGUUACAUGCGUGUGCUUGGUUUGUGAAAAUUCAUCAAGCUGUUUCUUACGAUAUGCACCUUUCUGUGUGCAUAUCAUAUCUUGAGAAAAGUUUUAAAAUGAUAAUGUAGAUUUAUAAAAAUCACUUGUAAAAUACAAGACCAUGAUUUUUCUUUUAAAAGCGGGUUUGGGUUGCAAAUAAAGUAGCGCAGCAGAAGCAAGCUGGGCCUAUCAAAACAGGUUGGUUGCAAAACAUGUGCCAUAUCUUGUGGUCCUAUAUUUGUAAGUAAAUCAAUAUAUUCAUUUACUACGCCAGUGGU